AUCCUUUUGUAACUCAUAAGCAUGAUGAUUGGGUUUUCACAUGGUUGUGUGAGAUGUUCCACCCACAAAUCUUGUUACGACAUUGACACAUUACCCACGGGCUU
ensembl:snoRNA